rnacentral:rRNA from 1 species
UACGUAGGUGGCGAGCGUUAUCCGGAAUUAUUGGGCGUAAAGGGUGCGCAGGCGGCCAGAUAAGUUUGGGGUGAAAGACCGGAGCUCAACUCCGGUUUGCCUUGAAAACUGUCUAGCUAGAGUGCAAGAGAGGGCAAUGGAAUUCCAUGUGUAGCGGUAAAAUGCGUAGAUAUAUGGAGGAACACCAGUGGCGAAAGCGAUUGCCUGGCUUGCAACUGACGCUCAUGCACGAAAGCGUGGGGAGCAAAUAGG